rnacentral:rRNA from 1 species
UACGGGAGGCAGCAGUGAGGAAUAUUGGACAAUGGAGGCAACUCUGAUCCAGCCAUGCCGCGUGCAGGAAGACUGCCCCAUGGGUUGUAAACUGCUUUUAUACAGGAAGAAAUAUACCUACGUGUAGGUAUUUGACGGUACUGUACGAAUAAGGAUCGGCUAACUCCGUGCCAGCAGCCGCGGUAAUAC